AUUGAACGCUGGCGGCAGGCCUAACACAUGCAAGUCGAGCGCGAAAGUCUUCGGAUGAGUAAAGCGGCGAACGGGUGAGUAAUGCAUGGGAAUCUGCCUGGUAGUGGGGGACAACGUCUCGAAAGGGACGCUAAUACCGUAUACGCCCUACGGGGAAAGGGGGGAUCUUCGGACCUCUCGCUAUCAGAUGAGCCCAUGUCAGAUUAGCUAGUUGGUGAGGUAAAGGCUCACCAAGGCGACGAUCUGUAACUGGUCUGAGAGGAUGAUCAGUCACACUGGAACUGAGACACGGUCCAGACUCCUACGGGAGGCAGCAGUGGGGAAUAUUGGACAAUGGGGGGCAACCCUGAUCCAGCCAUGCCGCGUGUGUGAAGAAGGCCCUAGGGUUGUAAAGCACUUUCAGUGGGAGAAAGGUUAUUCACCUAAUACGUGAGUAGAUUGAUGUUACCCACAGAAGAAGCACCGGCUAACUCCGUGCCAGCAGCCGCGGUAAU
rnacentral:rRNA from 1 species